CCCACUUAAUCCCCGUGUUCAUCGUUUGAUCGGGAAAUGAAAGAAAAGGGGAUACGAAUGGAUGAAGGCGACGAGAGGGAAAAUGAACACGAAGGCAGAUGAACAAAAAUGGCGAGAAGGAAAGCACGAGGUCGCAGCUCUGCAUCCGGUCCUUGCUAGUCGCAAACCACAGAGAAGACCGAAAGAGAAUGAAGCUCGCAGGCGGCGCUUCGUCGAUCGAUUCGCGAAGAGGGAGUAGUCUCCGGGUCGACGAGACUGAAGAGACGGAGGGCGUGAAGAAGCAGCGAAGUUUUGCUUGUCGCUUCCGGAUGCGAGGUGUGUGGUCCGGGCGUUGCAAGAAGCGGUAGUAGCGAAGACGAGGCCAUCUGAUCUCUGUGGUCGAUGGGAACAGCAGAGGAAGAAAACGAGGGGAAAGGGGGUCCGAUGGGAGUCCGGUCGGCAGCCAUUCGUCGCAGGUGAGGAUCUCGGGGGUGUUUGCUCGAAAAUCACGAUGUUUCCCCCCUUGUUUUGGCAGUUCCGAAUCAACCACAGGGAAGGAAAAGUAAACAAAACGUGUUGUUGUUAUUCCUGUUUGCUGGUAUACCCGAAGUCAAGAACAAGAGUAUUCUUGUCGAUGUAGGAUGAAAGGAAAUAUGGAGGUUUAUUAACAGGAAACGUAGAAGAGAAGGGUGUGAGGGGCUGUUCCUGUGACAGCUUCAAUUGAGAAAAGGAAACACGUUUUCUUUUGACUUUGAGUGUAGUAUUGUCCAUUGUGUGUAGAAUUGGAUGCUUUGUUAUGUGGAAGUAAACUUAUGGUUUUUGGCUGCAAUUUUUAUAUAAUUGGUUUGAUU